rnacentral:tRNA from 1 species
GCCCGGAUGGUGUAACAGGUUAGCACAACUACUUUGGUAGUAGUAGGAACUCGGUUCGAAUCCGAGACUGGGCA